rnacentral:rRNA from 1 species
CAAACGACUCUCGGCAACGGAUAUCUCGGCUCACGCAUCGAUKAAGAACGUAGCAAAAUGCGAUACUUGGUGUGAAUUGCAGAAUCCCGUGAACCAUCGAGUUUUUGAACGCAAGUUGCGCCCGAAGCCAUUCGGUCGAGGGCACGUCUGCCUGGGCGUCACGC